UGGGGAAUAUUGGACAAUGGGGGCAACCCUGAUCCAGCAAUGCCGCGUGUGUGAAGAAGGUCUUCGGAUUGUAAAGCACUUUCGACGGGGACGAUGAUGACGGUACCCGUAGAAGAAGCCCCGGCUAACUUCGUGCCAGCAGCCGCGGUAAUACGAAGGGGGCUAGCGUUGCUCGGAAUGACUGGGCGUAAAGGGCGUGUAGGCGGCUUACACAGUCAGAUGUGAAAUCCCCGGGCUUAACCUGGGAGCUGCAUUUGAUACGUGUAGACUAGAGUGUGAGAGAGGGUUGUGGAAUUCCCAGUGUAGAGGUGAAAUUCGUAGAUAUUGGGAAGAACACCGGUGGCGAAG
rnacentral:rRNA from 1 species